UCUUACAUUGCACUUAAAUUGAAAAAGAUCUUGUGGUUUAAAAGGUUGAAGACCACUGGUCUAAAGUAAGGUAAUAAUCAUUAGAGCUUAUGGCUUGUAGAGGGGUGUAGAAAGUUACCUCUCACUUUUAAAUAACAUUUAUUUUGUGCUGUUCAAAGAUGUUAUUUCCAUCUUGGUUUGAAAUAGAAUCCCUAGAUCACACUGGUGUCAAAGAAGCCUGAGGAGGAAUGCUGAUGGAUUCUUCUAGAUGUGGUGGAGAGGAGCAUAGUGGUGCAGAAGCAAUACUUCUACCCCCACUUGAAAGGAUGCAACGUACACUCCCUUCCCAUCUGUGCUGGGCUGCGAGGCUGAGGUCGCCCCAGAGGAGGAGCAGGAGGGCCAGGGCCAGUCGGUCACGCUGGAGGCAGGCACUGUGACCCUCUCCCUCAAGCUGGUUCCCAUAAGCGAAGAAGACUCCCAGUCUUCCACGGACACCUGGGAGGGAUCUUCAGCCAGACCAGCUGGGACAAAAGGCUGAGCCAUUCCACCACAGCCACCCACCAGAGCCCAGGGGAUCUGAAGGCACGCCAGGGUGCACAAGGACUGAUGCAGCAGCACAUCAGUGCUCUCCGUGACAUCCACCAUACCCUGGCGCACAAGUUCCGCACCAACCUGGAGUGAUGGGAGCCUGCCUGGGACCAGCUGAUGCAGCGGUGUGAUAACAUAUGUGUUGUCAUGUCCCCCUGACAGAACACGCGCCUGAUGCUGCUGC